CUCUCUCUCUCUCUCUCUCUCUCUCUCUCUCUCCAUAUAUAUAUGGAGAGAUAUAUAUAUAUAUGGAGAGAGAGAUAUAUAUAUGGAGAGAGAGAGAGAGAGAGAGAGAGAGAGAAAG
rnacentral:miRNA from 1 species